GGGGUCGUAGCUCACAUGGUAGAGCGCUCGCUUCGCAUGCGAGAGGUACGGGGAUCGAUACCCUGCGACUCCA
rfam:Micromonas sp. RCC299 chromosome 7, complete sequence.